rnacentral:ncRNA from 1 species
GGUGGCAGACCCACCGAAAGCUGUUGUCGGAAGGCGCUUUCAAACCACCCCAACUGCUGCGGUAAAGAGCCAUGGUGGUGAGCGCAGGGGGAACAGGCAGU